rnacentral:rRNA from 1 species
UAUGUUAAUAGCAUACUCAUUUUGACGUUAGCUGCAGAAGAAGCACCGGCUAACUCCGUGCCAGCAGCCGCGGUAAUACGGGAGGGUGCGAGCGUUUAAUCGGAAUUACUGGGCGUAAAGCGCAUGCAGGUGGUUUGUUAAGUCAGAUGUGAAAGCCCGGGGCUCAACCUCGGAAUUGCAUUUUGAAAACUGGCAAACUAGAGUACUGUAGAGGGGGUAGAAUUUCAGGUGUAGCGGUGAAAUGCGUAGAGAUCUGAAGGAAUACCGGUGGCGAAGGCGGCCCCCUGGACAGAUACUGACACUCAGAUGCGAAAGCGUGGGGAGCAAACAGGAUUAGAUACCCUGGUAG